UGUUUGCACAGAGAGAGAGAGAGAGAGAGAGAGAGAGAGAGAGAGAGAGAGAGAGACCUUGGGCGAGGAGGCGAUUAACGGCUUCGUUAGGGUCCAUGUUGCAGUCUUUAAGCAUAGCAUAGAUCUCCUGCUCAGUGCAGUUAUUGACAAUCUCUUUCAAGCUCUGCACCAUCUUCCGAGACCCCGCCGGUAUACCCGAAAGUCCAGUAUUGCCCUUGCCAUUGGUGGCCACGCCUCCGCCUCUCCCACUCAUUAUUUCUCUCUCUCUCUCUCUCUCUCUCUCUCUCUCUCUCUCUCUCUCUCUCU
rnacentral:miRNA from 1 species